GGAGGGGUGGCAGAGUGGUUGAAUGCGCCAGUCUUGAAAACAAGUGUCGUCGUAAGGCGACCGCAGGUUCGAAUCCUGUCCCCUCCGCCA
rnacentral:tRNA from 1 species